CACAUUGAUUGAUCACCUUUACAUAUCACAGCCAUACGCCUGCCUCCAAUCAGGUGUUCUGAAUACAUAUCACAGUUAUCACACCCCAUUUAUUGUGUAAUUCACUAACACAAAAUGACUGCAAGGUUGUGAGGGAUAUGGACUUGCCAAGUGAUCUUAGUGUCUUUGCAACUGAGCACACUCUACCACCAACAAGGACAGCUCACCAGUGGGAGCUGAUACAUAAGACUGCUCUCAUCCAUCGAAGAGCUGACCAGAAACGUGAACAGAGAGACUGCAACUGCACCUGAUGGGAUCCCUGCCAUAACAGAUGUGUUCUGUCCAGUGAAGGCAGUAGAGAAGCCCUACACUGAUCUUGAAACUGUGCCACGCUAGUAGAGACCGGCUACAAGAUGGGCAGCUGUUUUCGCAAAGUCAGCCAACCACUUGCUUCCAAAUGACCCUUAUCCAGAAGUAUCCGUGAGUGCCUCAUCAACAGAAACUAAAGUGGAGACCUACCUCUCAGAGAAAAACGCACACAUAAGAAAAGCCGACCCACUUCAGUACUGGGAAGAACAUCCUAAUCUGUUUCCCUCUAUGGCUGCUGUUGCGA